UGGGGAAUCUUGCGCAAUGCGCGAAAGCGUGACGCAGCAACACCGCGUGAGGGAAGACGGCCUUCGGGUUGUAAACCUCUUUCAGGAGGGACGAAGGCCGGCCGGUUAACAGCCGUGCCGGCUGACGGUACCUCCAGAAGAAGCUCCGGCUAACUACGUGCCAGCAGCCGCGGUAAUACGUAGGGAGCAAGCGUUGUCCGGAAUCAUUGGGCGUAAAGCGCGCGUAGGCGGCCCGAUAAGUCCGCUGUAAAAGUCAACGGCUCAACUGUUGAAAGCCGGUGGAUACUGUCGGGCUAGAGUACGGAAGAGGCAAGUGGAAUUCCUGGUGUAGCGGUGGAAUGCGCAGAUAUCAGGAGGAACACCUAUAGCGAAGGCAGCUUGCUGGGACGUUACUGACGCUAAGGCGCGAAAGCGUGGGGAGCGAACAGG
rnacentral:rRNA from 1 species